rnacentral:rRNA from 1 species
UAUUGCUUUUUUUCUGGAAAAGAAAAGUUGGCUCUCCUUCCUACCUUAUGUAAAGGCUAACAAAGGGUAGAUUUAGGAAAUUGACUUCCAAUCCUUGAGGUUGAGAAAAGGAGGAAAAAUAUGUGCCAGCAUCUGCGGUCAUACAUAUUUCCUUACCAACUCUGGUCUAACUAAAAAAAACUGCUUUAAGAAAAUCUAGUUAAAACUGUGAGGUGGAAUUCUAGUUUAAGAAAAUUCUGAUUUUGGCUGUUUUUAUGAAUCCCUUUUUUAAACCAGGAUUAGAUACCCUGUUAUUAGGGUCAAAAAUUAGUUUGGGAGUAGGUUAAAUAUUGAAAACUAUCCAGAAUGGCGGUUUUUUUUAUUUUCAGAAAAAUGUGUUUUUAAAACGAAAUUACACGAAAAUCUUUCUUACCUUGGAAACCCAUCCUGUACACCGCCGUCUGAAGGGUCAAUUAAAAGAAUUAGCCCGUAAUUUCAUAACAAAAAUAAGUCAGGUUAGGUGCAGACAAUAGGUAGGGCAAAAUGCAUUUCACUAGAAAUACGAAUAAGUGGUUGAAAUACCUCGUUGAAGAAGAAUUUGAAAGUAAGAAUUUUUUAUCAUAAAAACCUGAAAUAAUACCGAAAAAAUGUACAAAUCGCCCGUCAACCCAAUAAAGGGUAAGUCGUAACAAAGUUGUUCUACUGGAAAGUGGAACAGGAAUUUA